CUCACAGCCUCCGACGGCGCCGGAAACGAAACUGGAUCUACCACCAUCCGAGCCGCCAUCUACCACCGGGAAAUCAGGAGGUGCGAUAAUGAACGCCCCGAACACCACGAAGAAGAAAAAAGAAGACGAACACGAAGAAGAAAAAGCUACUGGCGCCGGAGAAGAAGCACACAGAGCCUGCGUCGAUUAAGACGCGGUGGUGCGAAGGACUGACCUCAUCCUCGUCGCACUACCACCACCGUCUUUUCUACAUAGUGAAAGGAGAGGUUUGGAUUUUAGGGAGGAUUGCAGAUCUGAGAUGGUGACGGAGAAUAAAACUUGAUUGAUGCGGGGAAAUUAUAUCAUUCAAAAAAGGCUUAUCCUUCUAACAAUAACUUUAGAAAUAAGUAUUUUUCUCUUGAAAUCAUUUCAUUUGUCUAUACAAAGAGAUAGUGUGUGUGAAG
rnacentral:lncRNA from 1 species